UUUGAAGAUGUUAGAGAUAACAUUGGCUCUUGGGAGCCAAAGUGACAGGUGGUGCAUGGUCGUCGUCAGCUCGUGUCGUGAGAUGUUGGGUUAAGUCCCGCAACGAGCGCAACCCUUAUUGUUGGUUGCCAGCAUUUAGUUGGGCACUCUAGCGAGACUGCCGGUGACAAACCGGAGGAAGGCGGGGACGACGUCAGAUCAUCAUGCCCCUUAUGACCUGGGCUACACACGUGCUACAAUGGCGUAUACAACGAGUCGCAAACUCGCGAGGGUAAGCUAAUCUCUUAAAGUACGUCUCAGUUCGGAUUGUAGUCUGCAACUCGACUACAUGAAGUCGGAAUCGCUAGUAAUCGCGGAUCAGCAUGCCGCGGUGAAUACGUUCCCGGGUCUUGUACACACCGCCCGUCACACCAUGGAAGUUUGUAAUGCCCAAAGCCGGUGGCCUAACCUUUUGGAGGGAGCCGUCUAAGGCAGGACAGAUGACUGGGGUGAAGUCGUAACAAGGUAACCAAGGGCGAAUUCCAG
rnacentral:rRNA from 1 species